GAGAAAAUAAUGAAUGUCAAAGGAAAAGUAAUUCUGUCAAUGCUGGUUGUCUGAACUGUGAUCGUUUUGGGAAUAUAUCAACAGCCCAGAAGGCUCUUUCUUGUGGAUAUAUCACUCAAAAAACCCAGAAGUUGAUGACAGCAGUGCUCAGAAGGGCUGGUCGUUUCUGAGCUGGUUUAACAAUGGGAUCCACAAUUAUCAACAAGGGGAAGAAGACAUAGACAAAGAAAAAGGAAGACAGGAGACCAAAGAAAGGAAAAUGACACAACAGAGCUUCGGCUACGGGACUGGUUUAAUCCAAAAUAUAAUGAGCAUUAAUUGGAGGAGUUCAUAACAUCUGCUAAUAGGUACUUCAUGGUCGGCCACAAAGUCAUAUUUUACAUCAUGGUGGAUGAUGUCUCCAAGGUGCUGUUUAUAGAGCUGGGUCCUCUGCAUUCCUUCAAAGUGUUUGAGGUCAAGCGAGAGAAGAGGUGGCAAGACAUCAGCAUAAUGCGUAUGAAGAUCACUGGGGAGCACAUCUUGGCCCACAUCCAACACGAGGUCAACUUCCUCUUCUGCAUGGAUGUGGACCAGGUCUUCCAAGACCAUUUUGGGGUGGAGACCCUAGGCCAGUCAGUGGCUCAGCUAUAGGCCUGGCGGUACAAGGCAGAUCCCAAUGACUUUAUCUAGGAGAGGCAGAAAAAGUCAGCAGCAUACAUUCCCUUUGGCCGGGGGGUUUUUAUUACCAUGCAGCCAUUUUUAGAGGAACACCCAUUCAGGUUCUCAACAUCACCCAGGAGUGCUUUAAGGGAAUCCUCUUGGACAAGAAAAAUGACAUAGAAGCCGAGUGGCAUGAUGAAAGCCACCUAAACAAGUAUUUCCUUCUCAACAAACCCUCUAAAAUCUUAUCCUUAAAAUACUGCUGGGAUUAUCAUAUAGGCCUGCCUUCAGAUAUUAAAACUGUCAAGCGAUCGUGGCAGACAAAAGAGUGUAAUUUGGUUAGAAAUAACGUCUGGCUUCAAAUUGUGCCAGUAAAUUUCUGAAUUUUAGAGAGAAGUAUUCUGGCUACUUCCUCAGAAAAGUAACACUUAAUUUUAACGUCAAAAAAUACUAAUGAAACACCAACAUGGCAAAAACAUACCAUUCCUCCUUGUAACUUGGGGCUUUGUAAUGUGGAAGAAUGAAUCUAGGGUAAUCAGGUAUAAAUUCCCAGUGAUUUCUUAUCUAUUCUGGGUUUGGGGAAAAUACUAUCAACUGAACCAAAAAGAACUUGUCGUAGGCAGAGAUAAAGCCAGAAACACUCUACACAUGCCAGAUAACAUCUGGAGAAAAGGGUGCUAAGGGAAGUGUUUGGCAGCAAGAUAUGAUUGUAAGGGGUUGUCCCUUGAGUUCAAUGUCUGCCUAUUUCUGAUGGGUCUAAAGCAACAUGGAGUUACUGUGCAGCAGAGCUCUCAGUAAAGACAUCAUUUGCCUUGGCAAUCCUCAAAAGGCUUCAAUAGCAGAUUGCUUCAGGCCAUCUGUAGUCCGUCUUUUUCUCAUCUGAUGUUGCUUGGCUUCUGUGAGAAAGAUUGGUGGAGUGUCCCAGUAG